rnacentral:lncRNA from 1 species
GUUCCAAAGGGGUUGAGUAUGGAAUAAGAAAGGUCUUUGGGCACAUGGUGGAGGCGGGACCCUGUCAAUGGUGCAGGGAGAGAGAAGAUCACUUCUAUCUCUGAGACCACAAGAGGCAAUGGAGACAGCUGCAGAGGCAGUUCCAGUAAUUCGAUCAGUGGAUGGCUACAAAAAAGAGAAAGUCUUCAAAGAGGAGAUGGCAUUUGCACUUGAAAAGCUCCACCGUGUUGAGAUGGAUGGAAUGCGUCCCAUCAAAUGUACAGAACUUAGAGAUGACAUCAAGAUCUGGUUAUGGUAACUACAGAAGGCUCUUGUUAGGAGGCAGAAUCCAAACAGUUUGGCUAAGAAAGAGAGCCACUGGGCUGAGCUAAGAGUUUGGAUGUGAUUCUGCAGGUGGUGAAUGUGGAAGAGAUGGCUCCACCUAAAUCCAUACUAUACUUCCCCAGUGUGAGUUCCCACUGAGAAGGGGCAUCUGUAUCCAGCCAGGACUACAUUUCCCAGAACUCCUUCUUUUCCGGGCAGGGCCAUGUGACCAGUUCUGGACAAAGGAAUGUGAGCCGAAGUGAUGUGAUUCAUGUCCACGCUAAGGCCAUUAAGAGGCAGUUGUGCUCUCUCUUCUUGGGCAAUUGAGAGGCAGUUGUGCCCUCUCCUGCCUGGAUGCAGAGGACCCAGUAGAUGGAAGAGCCUCAAAAGGAAAAGGGCCCAUGUCCCUAAACUUCAAGAGGGGAAACAUCUCCUAAAAACCAGGAACACCAGAUGAGUGAAAAGUGCACAUGUGUUAGCUCUCAAAGUGGUGGAGACUCAGGUCAUGUUCUAACGAGGCUUUUCAAGAGUUUCAAAAACUGGAAGGAAACUGCGAGGAAGGAGAUGGACUUAGUGGUGCCAGGACAGAAGGUGAGCAGGAGAGGAGACCAGAAGAAAGGAUGGCGUGGCAGGUCAAAGCUAAGGUCAUCAGUACCUGCAUAAAAGAGACUGGGUCUUUUUCCUCCUGGAGUUUUCCCAAGUUUUGGUGGUAGGAGGCUGUAGGUGGAGUUGACCUCAGAGUGUUCUGAUGGGGACCUCAAGUGAGAGAUGGCAGACCUGUCCAGCCCCUCUCCAUCAAGAGAAGGAAGAACCCUCCCGAGGAGGCAGCCUGGGUGGUGCUGGGAUUUGGCCAAGACACUCCAUCUGCUGGAAAGGCAACGGAAAGCUUCGAACCACUUUCUUUUGGCUUGUGAACUCACCGGCUAAUUGACAAAUGUGCGUCCUGUGCAUGAGCUGCGAAGAUUUUCCAUGAUCAGCAGAGCCCAGUGAUAUCUGGGGUUCACCAAGAGCUGUGGGGCCCUUUGUGUCUAGAAACUUCUGGCCAUUGUCAGCAGAGAGGCCCCUGGUCGCUGUUCAGGGUCCUGCUCACUGGCAACCCAUGACAUACUGAGAGUCAUCAUUGUCCAAUGCUGAGCACAUAGUGAGUCCUCAAGAAAUAGUUCUUGAAUGAAUGAGUGAGUGAGUGAGUGAAAGAACAAGAGAAUAAAAGAACAAAAUGAGACCAUAUGCUUUUUACACCAAGUUGUAAGUUCAAUCCCUAACUGUGCCAAAAAGUUUUAAUUCUUUCCAGAAUUAAGGCCAUGCCAUGUGGUCCUAUGAGGGCCUUCUCUGAUUGUUUGUUUAUCAGCGAAUAUUUAUUGGGCUCCUACUAAGGGCAGGUUCUGAGCUCUAGCUGGACGCACCAGCCCAGCCAUCGGAUGGUGGGAAACCGUCUCUAAGCGCUGGAAGCUUAUCAGCGUGGGUGGGGACAGCAUCCCUGGCUGUGAGGAAG